AGCGAACGCUGGCGGCAGGCCUAACACAUGCAAGUCGAACGAACCUUUCGGGGUUAGUGGCGGACGGGUGUGUAACACGUGGGAACGUGCCUUUAUGUUCGGAAUAACUCAGGGAAACUUGUGCUAAUACCGAAUGUGCCCUUCGGGGGAAUGAUUUAUCGCCUUUAGAGCGGCCCGGGUCUGAUGUGGUAGUUGGGUGAGGUAUCGGCUUACCAAGGCGACGAUCAGUAGCUGGUCUGAGAGGGUGGUCCGCCACAUGGGGACUGAGACACGGCACAGACUCCGAAGGGAGGAAGCGGUCGGAAAUCUUCCGCAAGGGGGCAGAGCCUGACGGAGCGACGCGGCCUGAGUGAUGAAGGUCCUCGGACCGUAAAACUCUGUAGGUAGGGAGGAACAAAUGUGCAUGCAACGAGGCCGCUCUUGACGGUACCUAGACAGAAAGCCCCGGCUAACUACGUG
rnacentral:rRNA from 1 species